AACCUUAUGGACCUGCGGGCGUAUACCUGCGGAAGGAUCAUUACCGAGUUAGGGUCUCUCCAGGCCCGACCUCCAACCCCUUGUUUACUUAUACCAUGUUGCUUUGGUGGGCCCGCCUUGAUGGCCGCCGGGGACUUCCCAUAUCCCUGGUCAGUGUCCGCCAGUAGCCUUCUUUAAAUUCUUUUUUAUAACUAUGUCGUCUGAGUAUAACAAAUAAAUUGUUAAAAAACUUUUAGCAAU
rnacentral:misc_RNA from 1 species